GGGAGAAGUGACGAUGGUGAUCGUUGCUGCCGCGGCCGAUAUGGAACCCAAGCAGUGGCGAAGGGAAUCGCAAGGCUCUUCCCUGACCAUUUUCUACUGUCCCUGCGCGAGGUGAGGGCCCCGGCUCGGCCUCUGCAAAACUUUGGGGCGCUGGCGCGGAGGAGGAGACAGGAUUUCUCCCGUGACUUUUGUAACUGCGUCAGGGCAAGAUGGCGCUGGGUCUCUUUGGGGCGCGGGGGGAGAGGCACGUCCACCGCCGCAGCGCAUGUGACCGGGCUGCAUUCCUGUGGGGUUUGGCUCCGACCCAGGCCGGGGCGGGGGAGGGGACAGGGCUUGGGCGGAGGAGACUGUGGUGCGGUCGGCGUUGGCGGCCUGAAGAGGAAGAGAUGACUGUUGGAAAGCGUUCCCCUCCCCCAUACGGCAGAACAGCUGCGGCUCCCAGGGGAAAGCCCCCGCAGGACAGUCCUCGUGGGGUGUGACGGCUGUUGGUGGAGAAGGUUUGGCGCCCUAUUUUCUUAUCUGCCUUUCUCCCCGCAAAGUAUACUUAUGUAAGGUGGUAGUUCCCUGACGUGGGACUCGGAAUCAACUAGGAGUCCUUGAGGGCCUCUGGGAGGCCUAGCGAGGGGUAGACCAGCUUCUGGGGGUACAACGUCAAGGAGGAUCGAUUACUUUCUGAGGAAACAGUUUCUCAGAUUGAAAUAGAAAAGUAUUUCCAAAGUUUGGAAACAAAUUUAAAGGUGUAAAUAACACCCAGGAACACUUUAAUUGCUUUGAAAAGGCAUAAGCAGCCAUCUGAAUUUAAGGGCCCUUUUCAGACUCUUCCUUCCUCCUGUGAUUCCUGUUCUUUAUUUCAGUUUUCUGUCUGUACAUCCCUUAAGAAUAUAGUUUUGUCGGUGGGAUUCGCUCUUUUGUGCCCAGGCUGGAGUGCAGAGGCGAGAUCUCGGCCCACUGCAACCUCCGCCUCCCCGGGUUCAGGCGAGUCUCCUGCCUCAGCCUCCCAGGUAGCUGGGAUUACAGGCGCCCACAACCACACCCUGCUAAUUUUUUCUAUUUUUAGUAGAGACGGGGUUUCACCCCAUUGACCAGGCUGGUCUCGAACUCUCGAGAUCCGCCCGUCUCAGCUUCCCAAAGUGCUGGGAUUAUAGGCAUGAGCCACCGCGCCGGGCCUGCUUUUUUUUUUUUUUUUUUUUUUUGCACUGGGCAUUAGUAAUACGGAAUAAAAGCCGUGUUUUAAACUGUA
rnacentral:lncRNA from 10 species